UACGUAGGGCGCAAGCGUUAUCCGGAAUUAUUGGGCGUAAAGAGCUCGUAGGCGGUUUGUCGCGUCUGCCGUGAAAGUCCGGGGCUCAACUCCGGAUCUGCGGUGGGUACGGGCAGACUAGAGUGAUGUAGGGGAGACUGGAAUUCCAGGUGUAGCGGUGAAAUGCGUAGAUAUCGAGAGGAACACCGGCGGCGAAGGCGAGUCCCUGGUCCGCAUCUGACGCUGAGGCGCGAAAGCGUGGGUAGCAAACGGG
rnacentral:rRNA from 1 species